rnacentral:rRNA from 1 species
ACGAACGCUGGCGGCGUGCUUAACACAUGCAAGUCGAACGGAGAACUUUCUUCGGAAUGUUCUUAGUGGCGAACGGGUGAGUAACGCGUAGGCAACCUGCCCUCUGGUUGGGGACAACAUUCCGAAAGGGAUGCUAAUACCGAAUGUGAUCCUCUUUCCGCAUGGAGAGAGGAUGAAAGAUGGCCUCUACUUGUAAGCUAUCGCCAGAAGAUGGGCCUGCGUCUGAUUAGCUUGUAGGUGGGGUAACGGCUCACCUAGSCGAUGAUCAGUAGCCGGUCUGAGAGGAUGAACGGCCACAUUGGGACUGAGACACGGCCCAAACUCCUACGGGAGGCAGCAGUGGGGAAUCUUCCGCAAUGGACGAAAGUCUGACGGAGCAACGCCGCGUGAGUGAUGAAGGUCUUCGGAUUGUAAAACUCUGUUGUCAGGGACGAAUGCACCGAUUUAUAAUACACUUUGGUGUUGACGGUACCUGACGAGGAAGCCACGGCUAACUACGUGCCAGCAGCCGCGGUAAUACGUAGGUGGCAAGCGUUGUCCGGAAUUAUUGGGCGUAAAGAGCAUGUAGGCGGGCUUUUAAGUCCGACGUGAAAAUGCGGGGCUUAACCCCGUAUGGCGUUGGAUACUGGGAGUCUUGAGUGCAGGAGAGGAAAGGGGAAUUCCCAGUGUAGCGGUGAAAUGCGUAGAUAUUGGGAGGAACACCAGUGGCGAAGGCGCCUUUCUGGACUGUGUCUGACGCUGAGAUGCGAAAGCCAGGGUAGCAAACGGGAUUAGAUACCCCGGUAGUCCUGGCCGUAAACGAUGGGUACUAGGUGUAGGAGGUAUCGACCCCUUCUGUGCCGGAGUUAACGCAAUAAGUACCCCGCCUGGGGACUACGAUCGCAAGAUUGAAACUCAAAGGAAU